UACGAGAGGCCCAAACGUUAUUCGGAAUUACUGGGCUUAAAGAGUUCGUAGGCGGCGCGGAAAGUAGGGUGUGAAAGCCCUCGGCUCAACCGAGGAAUUGCGCCCUAAACUGCCGUGCUUGAGGAACCUAGAGGUGAGCAGAACAGAUGGUGGAGCGGUGAAAUGCGUUGAUAUCAUCUGGAAUACCGGAGGCGAAGGCGGCUCACUGGGGGUUUUCUGACGCUGAGGAACGAAAGCCAGGGGAGCGAACGGG
rnacentral:rRNA from 1 species